rnacentral:tRNA from 1 species
GGUGCAGUUCAAUGGUAGAGCAUGUGCUUAGUAUGCACAAGGUACUGGGUUUAAUUCCCAGGACCA